GUGAGGAAUAUUGGGCAAUGGACGCAAGUCUGACCCAGCCAUGCCGCGUGCAGGAUGACGGCCCUAUGGGUUGUAAACUGCUUUUCUAUGGGAAGAAACCCCCGUACGUGUACGGGGCUGACGGUACCAUAGGAAUAAGCACCGGCUAACUCCGUGCCAGCAGCCGCGGUAAUACGGAGGGUGCAAGCGUUAUCCGGAUUUAUUGGGUUUAAAGGGUCCGUAGGCGGGAUUCUAAGUCAGUGGUGAAAGCCUGCAGCUCAACUGUAGAAUUGCCAUUGAUACUGGAGUCCUUGAGUAUAAUUGAAGUUGGCGGAAUGUGUCAUGUAGCGGUGAAAUGCUUAGAUAUGACACAGAACUCCGAUUGCGAAGGCAGCUAACUAAGUUAUUACUGACGCUGAGGGACGAAAGCGUGGGGAUCAAACAGGAUUAGAAACCCCGGUAGUCC
rnacentral:rRNA from 1 species